GUUUGGGUGGUACAAACGGUUAAUGUGCUUGGCUGCUAACCAAAAGGUUGGUGGUUUGAGUCCACCCAGAGGUA
rfam:Loxodonta africana unplaced genomic scaffold scaffold_34, whole genome shotgun sequence.